rnacentral:pre_miRNA from 1 species
AGGCCUGAGCACUGACCUGCCACGUCGAAACUUGUGGGCAGUGGAGACGAAUAGCUCUUUGCUACUUCGCACUGACCUGUAACAACGAGCUAUUCGUCUCCACUGCCCACAGGUUGCGACGUUGCAGGUCAGUGCUCAGGCCUU